UACGGAGGGUGCAAGCGUUAAUCGGAAUUACUGGGCGUAAAGGGUGCGUAGGUGGUUGUAUAAGUUAACUGUGAAAUCCCCGGGCUCAACCUGGGCAGGUCAGUUAAGACUGUAUGACUCGAGUAUGGGAGAGGGUAGUGGAAUUUCCGGUGUAGCGGUGAAAUGCGUAGAGAUCGGAAGGAACACCAGUGGCGAAGGCGGCUACCUGGCCUAAUACUGACACUGAGGCACGAAAGCGUGGGGAGCAAACAGG
rnacentral:rRNA from 1 species